CAGAGCUAAAGCCAGCUGCCUUAUCUUAUCGAAUGACACAGGAAUCAGGAGGGCAACAACAAAACUAACACAUGAUGUCUCAAGCAGCAGAGAUUCCUUGAGUGUGUUUCUCGUGCAGGUUUCUCAGCAGAGCUCCCCCUACAGCUUUAACGUAUGUAUUUUACGACACUCCUCAAUCAGUCAGUCUGCCGUUUUUCUCUUCCCCUGUUCCUCCGACAACGAUUUACUUUCUUUCUGCUUCUUUUUGCUGGCUCUGCCAUGACGAAUGUCUGAGAAACUCCAUCGCUACCUUGUUCUAGCCGGUUCUAACAGCAGCCCGCCGGGCCGAGGUUGGAAGGGUGUUUUUUUCCACUCACAGGCGCUAGGUGGAAGCGAGAUGGCCACCAUUCAACCCGAAAAAGACAUACUGUAACCCAAAUCCAAUUCCAAUGACUCUGAAGCUGAACUGUUAAGCCUGCUCGCAUUCUGCCCUUCACUUCUGUACUUUACGUGCCAUGAAGCCCGUUUCGUGUUUUGGGAGGAGCUACUCCAAAAUGAGGGUUUUUCUUGUGCAACUCUUGUGCGCAUUCUGCCACUUAGCACCUUUCCAGUGGGUGUGACAGAGGCGGGUAUGGGAGAAUGUGCAUAACUUGAAUUCGGCCCUAAAUGUGGUAAUAAUUACAGUAUACUACAUUAUACUACAGAUGUGCAAAAUGUAAAAACAAAUCCAUAUUAGGACAAUUCACCGUAUCUGAUAAGGCCCCUUUGAAACAAGCAGUCUGAAAGAUCGGAUAGGCAGGCCUUCCAGUGUAAAUGCACCCUACUUAGUCUCCUCGAAUGGUACCGAUUAGGGGUUCUGGCAAGGACUAAUAACUUAGAUGUUGAAGUGAGUUGAAUUUUAUCAAGGUCCACAGUCCAACAUAUGGUGAGAGUGAGAUAAGCAGCACUCAGAUAAAAGAUAGACACACAGAGAGUGCUAUAAGACCUCUUUGAAAAUGACAGCACAAAACUGGCCUUUCUUUGGGAUAGGUGUGGCAGUAUUCCUUGUCAAGGAAAAUGUUUGCACUUCAACAGUAUGUAUAGUUUUGCAUAUGCCAUCCAUCAAUGCCUCAUUUCCAUUCAGCAUUUCCACAUGUACUGUACAUAUGCACAGCUUUACUCUCAAGUCUCAACCAAGAUGGAGUUACUCAAUUUGUGUGAAAUCUCAACAAUAUUCAACCUUUAGUUCCCUAUGGUGAUACAGUGUGAGCAAGCCGGAUCUUUUUUUUUUUUAAAUCUAAGUGUUGGGGGUGGUUAUUAAAGGCAGGACUAUUCAUGUUUUUCUUUUGUUUAAUUUUCAUGUUUUUCAUUUCCCGUACAACAUUGGUAGAAAUCGAUGUGAAACAAAAAUAAAAAAUAAAAUGGCACAACACAGAAAAUUAUUGUUUAUAAUUUAAUUGAAAAUUAAGCCUUAAAGGUAGCCUGGCUGACGCGACCACAUCUCAAUGAGAGGGUAAAAAUUAGGGCGGUAGUUUCCAGGCUUUGCAGUGUGAAUGAAAUAAUAUAAUAUAUUCUGCUAAUCACACUGCAAAUAUCUAUAUUACAUUACAUUAUAUUACAUUAUUAUAUACUCUUACUUCUCUUAUAACGUUACUGCUGCUACACUGCACAUAUCUGUACAUGUUGUUCAUACAUACUGUAGCCAUAUUUAUAGUCUGCUCUUAUAAGGUUACUGCUAAUGCACAACAUAUAGGCUACAGUAUUCAUAUUUAAAUUAUAUUACCACCAUUUCUGUGAACCAACUGUUUACUACUGUCUGAACUGUACUAUUUAUCCGAUCCUGUCUAUGUACCAUCUGUCUAUACUUUAUAUAUCAUAUUGCACAUUUCUGCUUUUUUGUGUCUACACAUGAAUGUUCCUGUUCCUGUACUGGACUGGCCCUCUUCUGUUUUUGCUGUGGUGGUGAAAACAAAGAGACAAGAUACCAACAACUAUACAUAUUUUUGUGUGUGUGUGUGUCUGUGUGUGUGUGUGUGUGUGUGUGUGUGUGUGUGUGUGUGUGUGUGUGCGCUUCCCUGGAA